rnacentral:rRNA from 1 species
GUGACGAGCGGCGGACGGGUGAGUAAUGUCUGGGAAACUGCCUGAUGGAGGGGGAUAACUACUGGAAACGGUAGCUAAUACCGCAUAACGUCGCAAGACCAAAGAGGGGGACCUUCGGGCCUCUUGCCAUCAGAUGUGCCCAGAUGGGAUUAGCUAGUAGGUGGGGUAACGGCUCACCUAGGCGACGAUCCCUAGCUGGUCUGAGAGGAUGACCAGCCACACUGGAACUGAGACACGGUCCAGACUCCUACGGGAGGCAGCAGUGGGGAAUAUUGCACAAUGGGCGCAAGCCUGAUGCAGCCAUGCCGCGUGUAUGAAGAAGGCCUUCGGGUUGUAAAGUACUUUCAGCGGGGAGGAAGGCGAUGAGGUUAAUAACCUCGUCGAUUGACGUUACCCGCAGAAGAAGCACCGGCUAACUCCGUGCCAGCAGCCGCGGUAAUACGGAGGGUGCAAGCGUUAAUCGGAAUUACUGGGCGUAAAGCGCACGCAGGCGGUCUGUCAAGUCGGAUGUGAAAUCCCCGGGCUCAACCUGGGAACUGCAUUCGAAACUGGCAGGCUAGAGUCUUGUAGAGGGGGGUAGAAUUCCAGGUGUAGCGGUGAAAUGCGUAGAGAUCUGGAGGAAUACCGGUGGCGA